UACGGGGGAGCAAGCGUUGUUCGGAUUACUGGGCGUAAAGGGCGCGUAGGCGGCCACCGCAAGUCAAUUGUGAAAUCUCCGGGCUUAACUCGGAAAGGUCAACUGAUACUGCGGGGCUAGAGUGCAGAAGGGGCAACUGGAAUUCUCGGUGUAGCGGUGAAAUGCGUAGAUAUCGAGAGGAACACCUGCGGCGAAGGCGGGUUGCUGGGCUGACACUGACGCUGAGGCGCGAAAGCUAGGGGAGCGAACGGG
rnacentral:rRNA from 1 species